CCCCACUUUACCUCUCGUAGCAUCCGCCACUGCCGAGCCCUGGUCACUAGUCUGAUCAGUCUAUCCUGUCUCGCGACACGUUGCGCGUAACUCGUACCUUUCGUUCCUUUUUCUCGCCGCGAACGCAUUUUCACUUUUUCUCGCCCCUUUAUCGAAAUCCGAUCGCGUUACCGAUCGAAAGAACGAAAGAAUUCAAACUGAUCGUGGAUCGAUUUGAUCUUUUUUUCCAGACAGAACACGUUGCAGUCGCGAGUACGUAGCGUGACCGCGUGCACGCUUCUUCUCUCGGCCCGCGCUGAUUCAACAUCGUGUUCCACCCGAUUCAAAGAAUUGUUACAUCGGCGAUGUUCGCGUAGUUAUAGAAACAGCGAGAGAGAAAGAGAGAGAGAGAGUCGUUUGGAAAAGACAGGACUGUCGAGAUACAUGGAGUCAGUUUUGGGUUUCGAACUUAUUUUUGCCAGGAGAAAAUACUUGGACAAAGGUAGAUCACGAGGUCUAUCGUUUGACAAGUCGCAACAAGGUGAUCUUCUCGAUCGUUGAAUCAAGAUCUCGCAAGGUUUUAUCUGCUCGAUCCUUCGGAUCUUUAUAGUGUACUUUUUCAGCUGGAAAGGAAAGAUAAUAGAAACAUUGUUUUUCGAGACGAUACUCAGGUUUGAUAUUCAGGAGCGAGUGACGCGAGCAUUAAGUAUAAGAGAAUCGUAACGAUGGCUGGAGGUUGGCGAACCGGUAAAUCGGAGAACCUGGCGAAACCGAGAUAAUUUAGGGCAAUAUCUUAGCGUCCUUCGGAUCGACAUAGUCCGGAGUAAUUCAUAUACGCGGUCCAAUACCGUUAUAUGGGAUUUCAAUCCACGAUAUCACCGCAACGUCGCCGAUAAAUUAAGUUACAGGGCUGGAAAGCCAGCCUACCGAUCGAUGCUGCUAGUCACUCGAGAGGAGAGAGUCUCGACAAGCGUGGGAGAGGGUCAACCGGAGAGAAAGUGAGGCAAAAGCUCGUUCGGCGAAGCUGUUUGACGACCUCACGUGUAUCGGGGUUCACCGAGGUCGUCGACGGUUCUUGCCGGACGGUGACGCGUGACCUUCAACUAUGGUUCACGCGUCGAUGACCAAUGUGCUGCUCGUCGCCGGUCCAUCAACCGAGAAUCGUCCACUUCCUCUGUCAAACCUCUCUAGAGAAGAUCGAAGAUUCGACGUUUAACCGUACUAAUCGAGGAUAAACGUAAUAACCGAGUAUAACGUUGGCGUAACAGAACGAUUAAAAAGUAAUCUCAGCGUGGACAUCGAUGUUUCAAGCGUUUAAUCGAAAUAAACGUCGUGAUAUUGAGACGCUAAUUCGCAUUUAAUACGCGAUGAAGUUUCAAUGAUGUUUUGGCAAAUGGAGCGUUUGUGGAUGAUCGAUGGUAACGAGACGUCCAACGUUCAUUUACCAAGGGUCGAGCAUCGCUAAAGAUUGAUUAUCGUUGUAAUAUCGCUCUUCGAUUCGGGGCUGUGUCUCUACGAUUAACUCGUUCGAUGAUUCAAGGCGUUACACGGAAGAGAGAAAUACACACAAAGACAGGUAUAUUGGAUUAGCGAAGGAUAAACGUCCAUCAUUGAAAGAUUUACAAGGUGUGUCGAGAAUAGUAUUCGUCACGGUGUUAAACGUUCAACGACGAUAUUGUUAUUGAUACUUUGUUGGCGUCGAGAGGUAUAAGUUAAGACGGUAGGAUCUACGAGUGACUGGGAUGAAUGAAGUUGUGGAGGUAACUUGAUUCUGACCACGUUGUCGUGGAAAUUACUUCAAAAGUAUUUUUAAUACGGCUAACGUAUACAGACAUUUUACCUAUCCCUCUAACGUUUGAAGAAAAUUAAGAACCUUAAGAAAUUGUUGAAAACUAUGCAAAUUUGGUUAAUUACGUUCACUAAGUAAGGAGACGUUGUUGUUUGCACGUGUUUAAGCGACUUGAAUGGGGAUGAGAUAGCAGCAAGAUGAACUACUAGGAGGAACAACCUUGAAUAAAGUUAAUUUUGCCGCACAUCGGAGAUGGUGCGUUUAAUUUGAGACGGUAUGAUCGCUGGAAGCGGUGAUGAGGAAAUCCCGUCGGACGAGGAAAGGAGUUUAAAUUGCAAAUGCUGCGCCGCCGGAUCGACGAUUGUCGUUUCCACGUGGCAUCGGACGCGUUCUCCACCGAAAUGUAAUUUAAGAGAAUAGAUCCAUCGUCGAAGGGGGGUCGUGUGAAAGACCUUGCGUCUAUAUGCAGUUCUUCAAGACCAUGGACGUUAAUUAAUCGAACAUUUAUUCGCCGAAUCGAAGUUACAGUGACUUUAAAUAACUCAUUGUCAGUCGUUAUAAACAAUUCGUAUCGAACACGACGAUAAAUCGUACGUAAUCGACAUCUUCUUCUUCUUCCUCGAAUAAGAUGGGAAGAUUCACUGCGAACAGUGAAGUGAAAAAUAAUUUACCAGAGACGAUCAAACGUUUUGAAGAAACAUUUUCAGAAGAUAGCGUUACUACGAUCAGCUCAGUGAUUGUUAUGAAAAAUUGUUUUGGAAACUGAAUCAGUGUACGAUGAAAAAAGCACGAUAACGAAAAACUGGGUAGACAAUCGUUUUUCUUAAAACAAUUGUUGUGUAUAUACUUAGUGACCGCGAUACUCGAGAUACUUGGUAAGAACAAGACAAUCAACCAUGUCGAUCUUACAUCUUUCAAUCUUGCAUGGAUGGAGGAUGAAAUAGCUUGAAACUUUCUUCACCUUUAAACGAUCACAAUAAAGCAUUGAAACUAGUGUAUACGAGACACUCAACGCGAAGAAGACAGCCUUUCGAUUAGCUUCAGAGAAGUACACACAAGAUUCGUAAAACUGUAAAGAAGGAUCUCAGAGGCAUAAGAGCUAAACACGGACGUCGACGUAACUUAUGAUGGGCUGCAGACCGGCAGCAAAGUCGAAGGUGGCGGAAGGGUGCGGUCGCGGGCAGCUCCAGGCAGCUUCCUCGUCGCCGAGGUGUAACGAGGUGAUCAUCGAGCUUCCCAGCGAGACGACGAUCGUUCAGAAGCGAGAGGAUCGGGGUUCGAGCGCGGCCGCCGGGACGGAAGAGGAAGAGGAGGAAGAAGAACUGGCCAAAGAACGAGGUUCGUCGUGUUGGUCGUCGAGAUUCGAGCUGUCGUUCUCCGUGAACGAGUCAAGUUUCAGCAGAUAGCUGCCAAGUGAGAAUGCAGAGGCUGCGUUCGACCUUCAAGAGGUCGCGCACCCCGACGGGAGCGGAAAUGAAGUCGCAGUCGAGUCUCGAAGUACCGAAGCAAGUCAGAUCGGCCUCCUUCGACGAGAUCCAAUUGGAAGCUAAACGACAGGACGAUGCGAGGGACGGCAGAUCGACCAGGACCACGUCCUCCUCGUCGUCCUCGUGUUCACCGGCGAGGUCCCAAGAUUCGUCGCGUGGAAGACGAUCCGCGACGCUCAGGGUGCCGCAACUGCACAGCGGCCAAAGGUCCAAGAGUUUCGACGUGGCUGAACGGAGCUAUGGAUCUUCCUCCAGUCAACAAUCUCUUGGCAGCGUUCGACGUCCAGAGACACCGACGAUUCAGAUCUCUGGAUGUUACCACUGUAUUUGCGUGGAAGAGUAUAAAAAUCUUUAUCUUAGUAGAGACGAGGAUGAUCCCUCGUCGAGAGAAGAUCUCGAUGACGAAGCAGAUGUAGUAGACGACACUUCGGAGGACGAAGACUCCGAAUUAGUGGAUAAGAGCGAAGCUAGUCCAGAAAUUAGAGUCACGUUAACGACGUUUACCGAGAAAGAGCCAGAUGUUGCCGAUGUGGUGUCCGAAACGACGGUACCACCUCCUACCGUGGUUCCUGAGGUGGUUCCUAAGGUGGUGCAAGAUGAAAUGUCCGAUAUCAGCGAGGUCAGAGGCGGUCUAUUUCCGGGCAGGGAACGUAGAAGGUCGAUCUCCUCUCCGAAACUUGCUCGGCAAGAAGCUCUAACGUCGUACCCUCUGGAGCUUCCGACGGUGGUUAGCUCGACCGAGGAUGAGGAAGAAUCGACCCACGAUCUUGGCUCGAGCAAGUGCAAGUUCGUCGUCAGAGAUAUCUUUUUGACCGUUCCGGAGUUGAAAAGAGAUCGCGCCGCAUCCGUGGACUCCUGCUUCAAUAACAAGAAUGGACAUGGCGAGGAUGCCGAUACGUUGACCGUUCCUCAGCAAAAUAUACGGUCGAAGAGCGUCGAUAUCGUUCUGCCUACCGAGGCGCAGACGAGGUACACUGCUCUGCUGCCUGACACCGAGGCUCGACCUCCAAGAGGAGGGAGAGAAGAGGGUGGAACGAGUGGCGGUCACCGUGAACCCCGAUCAACGCCCGAUUGGGGUCCCGGUGCACUUAAUGGAGAACAUCUUUGGGUACCGACGUCAGCUUCCGGUGAUUUCUGUUACGUCAAUGACUGUUCGAAACACGGGCCCCGGAUGAAAUGCGCAGCCUGCAGAGUGGUAGCCCACGCUGUGUGCGCUGUGAAUCUGAACUUCGCUUGUAAAUCUAGCUUCCGGGAUGUCGGGGUCCGCCAGUAUCGGGAACAGACGAACACUCACCACCACUGGGUACACCGACGAUCACAGAAGGGGAAAUGCGCAAAUUGCGGCAAGUCGUUCCAAUCGAAGCUGAGCUUCACCUCGAAGGAGAUUGUCGCGGUGAGCUGCAGCUGGUGCAAGCUGGCCUAUCACAACAAAGAAGCGUGCUUCAACGUUCAGAAGAUCGGAGAAAACUGCGAGUUAGGUAUUCACGCGUCUAUCGUAGUGCCGCCAUCCUGGAUCGUGAAACUCCCCAGGAAGGGCAGUUUCAAGAGUAGCUUGAGAAAAUCACCGAGAAAGAAGAAAUCUGGAAGCGGUGCUGGCACCGUGUCCAACAGAAAGAAAUCGAAAGAAAAGGAUAAGGAUAAAGAACAGGAUAAGGAUCAGGGGAUGUUAUGGGUGGUGAAACCUAUACCUACGCCAUCUGUGAAACCGGUGCUGGUUUUCAUUAACCCAAAAUCAGGUGGCAAUCAGGGAGCCAAGCUUUUACAGAAGUUCCAGUGGCUGUUGAAUCCGAGGCAAGUCUUCGAUCUGACCCAGGGCGGACCCAAGAUGGGGUUGGAAUUAUUCAAGACAGUUCCUAAUCUACGAGUUCUGGCGUGUGGCGGCGACGGUACGGUCGGUUGGGUAUUAUCGAUCCUGGAUCAGAUCGGCGCAUCUCCUCCACCAGCGGUGGGCGUGCUUCCUCUGGGAACCGGAAACGAUCUGGCCAGAGCAUUAGGAUGGGGCGGCGGAUACACCGACGAGCCAAUUGGGAAGAUUUUGACGAAUAUCGGAGAGAGCGAUACGACGUUGUUGGAUAGAUGGCAACUGGUAGUGGAGAGGAAUCCUGAUGCGCAAGGCGACGAUGAUAAUGGCAAAGGCAAAGAGAAUCUACCUUUGAACGUCGUUAAUAAUUACUUCUCCCUUGGUGUGGAUGCGCACAUUGCCCUUGAAUUUCACGAAGCUCGAGAGGCGCAUCCAGAAAGAUUUAACUCGCGGCUACGAAACAAAAUGUUUUAUGGUCAAAUGGGUGGUAAGGAUCUCGUGCGACGAAAAUGGAAGGAUCUCUCAGAAUUCGUGACGUUGGACUGCGACGGCCAGGAUAUGACACCGAAAUUGAAGGAGCAUCGAGUUCACGCUAUAGUCUUCUUGAACAUUGCCUCGUACGGCGGCGGAACGCAUCCUUGGGGUGCUGCGAGUGGAACGAAAGAACCAUCGACGGAGGAUGGAAUGAUCGAGGUUGUUGGUUUAACGACGUACCAGCUUCCGCUUCUUCAAGCAGGUGGACACGGCACCUGCAUUGCUCAAUGUAGCACAGCUAAGCUGGUUACUACAAGGACCAUUCCAAUGCAGGUCGAUGGCGAGGCUUGUCGACUGCUGCCAUCCAUUAUAAACCUAAAACUGCUAAACAAAGCGACAAUGCUAGCGAAACGAAGGAACGCGAGCAAACCUCAGCAAGACGUCAAACUGGAGAGGUUAAAACUGCCGGUGAUGAAGAUCAAGAUGUUAGAUUACGAGAGGUAUCAUCACGAUAAAGAUAUGUUGAAGAAGGCCGCGACCACAUGGAUCGCAGAUCCACUUGAUCUCGACGCCACCACCGACCUAGAAUCACUGAGGAAGAUCCUGGCAAAAGACCAUAACAUGGACACUUGUUGCUUCCUCGACUCGUGUACCGCGGAACGAUUCUUUAGGAUUGAUAGAGCUCAAGAGCAACUCCAUUACGUGACUGAUGUAGCUGUCGAAGCGGUGUACGUCCUCGAGGAGAGUGCCUCCAAUCAGUCGAACGAGCCUGAUGGGACGAAGAUGUCUACGAACCAAGAAUCGGAAGCCGCUCAUCCGUCGCCAAGCGAAGAACGACCAAAGAAAAAUGCAGCCAUGACAAACGAGAAGCCUAAAGAAGAGCCAAAGGCGCAGCCAGUUUCCGAACCACAGAACGCAACGCCUGAAACUGCAGCGUCUGAAACUACAGCGCCUGAAACUGCAGCGCCUGAUUCACCACCUGAAACUGCAGCGCCUGAAUCACCACAUGAAACACCACUUGAAACGAAGAUACAGGACAAGGAUCAGGAUACUGCGAAAUCUCAUGAAUCGUUGAAUAAAGACGCGCCUCAGGAUGGAUCUGCAAAUGUGAAGAAGGAGGAAAAAAUAUCUGGAGACGCGAACAAGCAAAGCAGUUCCUCAAAAUCAAUCUCUGCCACGGUUGUCUCACAGUCACAAAAUCAAACACUACCUACCUUCAUUAGUCCACGAGAUAGACUUUUUGGCUUGAGUUCUGAGGUUCACACGUUUCACACGAGAUUACUGGAGAAAGCCAGCGAUGGUAUUUUGAAAGCAGCGAAAAUCGGCGAUCUACAGGCUUUGAAAGAAUUUCACGAGAAAGGAUACUCUCUUCUAUCCAUCGACUCCUCUGGACAAACUGCUCUUCACCUAGCGUCGAGAUAUGGUCACAAGGAUAUUGUCAGAUAUCUCAUCGCUUGCGCACCAUCGAGUAUUCUCAAUAUGAUCGACAACGACAAAGGUCAAACCGCUCUGCACAAAGCGGCUCAAUAUAAACGUCGUUCCAUUUGCUGCAUGUUAGUGGCUGGCGGUGCUACUUUAAUCAUCAAGGAUCGACACGGCAACACACCUCGCGAUCUAGCCCUGCAAGCGGAGGACCGUGACCUCGCGGCGUAUUUAUGCAGUCAAGAGCAGUUCCAGCUGACAACAGAAGAAAUGGAGAACGCGCUCUGACCUCCGGCCGUAAUUGGUAGAGCCUGAGCUGAUCCUGAGUAAAAUUCUAUCUUCGAUGGAACAACCAGAGGGAGAUCUAGGCGAACGAACGACGAUCGUCACCGACAUCGGUCAUCAACGAUACACAUUAGCGAUGUCGACGCGUAAUUUACCAAGGUGCUCUCCAACCUUUCUCGUCGGAGCCUCGAGAUCCCUUUCUACGAACGUGUAAAUUAAUUACAUUCUGCAUAGGUGAACAAUACAUAGAUACAUACGUGUUACAUAUGUACGUGCGUACAUGUGUUGUAUAAAGAUUAGGAAACUUUUUCGAUCGAUUACGAGCCUCUACAUGCAUACACGUAUAUAUUUUUAAAAUCGUACUCUCGUAUAGCUAAGAGAGCAAGCGUAUAAUAAUUUGCGUACGCAUAUUUUCUCUCGACUUACCAACGACGAAACCGCGCGAACAGAUUGUCCGCAAAUUUUUUCGAAGAUAGUCGCACGAAUGUCGAGGAAUAAUACACGCGUGUGUAGAAGAUUCAAGUGUAAUUAGGAAACUUUUUGCUCAUUCGCGACGUCGCUGUUGCGUGUAACGUAUCGGCGAGUUUUAAGGGUGUGGAACUUGACGGGGCACGACCCGAGAAGGAAACCGAAUUAGUGAGAGGCUAGGAUCAAAGGAAUAUGAUAAUUGGAAAAACGAAAUCGAGUAGCUGAUGUAUUAUAAAGACUAAUCUUCACCGUAUUCGUUUGUAUGAUUUUUUAUUUUAUAUUUUUCUACGUUCCAUUUUCUAGGUAUUACGAGUUGGCGAAGUAUAAAUAAACCCUAUCUUUAUCAAUUUAGCUCUGUCGUUCCACGUAGACGCGAUUUUUACAAUUUUUCGCCUCCGCGUUUUAGUCGCGAACGCUGUCGCCUUCUUUCAAACGCGGAGGACGCGUAGUUUCUAGGGAUUAGCGUUCACAGAGUUGGACAGAAUUUUUCGUUCCAAUUGAAAUUAGAAUUAUUCGUUCGACCAUCGUGAUCGUUAGGAUCGUUGAUCCACCGUAGAAUUCUCUUUGUUGUCCGUUGAAAUUUUUCAAAACAGAUUGUUAUCCUUGUUGCGCCCCCAUAAAUUUUUCUUUCUGUUAUUACUCGAUCGAUCGUUCGAGCUGUACGAGCCUACGUUCGAAGAAACGUUUUUGAUAAUCGUGAUCGACAAGCGAAAUAUUUACCGUGACGGUUAUUUGUUGAAUUUCGUCAAGAAGGAAAGAGGUUCUAUCCGACUCUGCUGGUGUACAAACGUUUACUUAAACUGUCUUGUUAAAUUGUUCUCUUCGCUUGUUCUAGGAUACCUCGUCGCAUCGGGUAUACAUAUCUUUUUCUAUUUAAAGAAACAAGUCCCGCGUUAAUAUACAUAUUAUAUAUAUCUAUAUAUAUAUAUAUACAUAUAUAUAUAUAUUUUCUACGUACGUUAAAAUACUGAUAUAAUAUUUAUUGUUCUUAAGAUACAGAGGUUUCUUCACGAUGCUGUUUUUUCUUGUCAUGUGAACAUUUGUCGAACUUCUUGGCACUGCUUGGACACACAUACACACACACACACAUAUAUACACACACACGUGAACACACGCGUACACACGAUUACACACACGAUUUCAAGAAAAAAUGUAACUACUGAGAGAAGGAAAGUGCGCAUGGAUUUAAUAGAAAAAUCUAUGAAAAAUAUUUGCGAAGUUGGAUAAUACAAUCUACUUUGAAAAGCUUCAUACGUGGGAUUAGCGUGAUAUAAUCGAUUUAACGUAUUUGCGUGAUCACCUGAAAUUUAAUCGACAUGUCUUCUAGCGUUAUAUACGAUAUCGAGAUACAAUCAGGAGUUUCGUGAUGGAAAACACCGAUUCAAACGAAAUUGCGCCAGUCAGUCGAUGAACCAACAAAGUCUUAAAUCGCAGUUUCAUAUGGAAUCCAUAACGGAGGUGCCUCCAUCAAAAUUUAUGAACAGAAGAGUUGUCUUGGGAUAAAAUAAUACAAUCGUAAGCAUCGAUCGUAGAAUAAUUUUCCAACAUCUCUUCCAUGCCAACGCAAGUAUUCUUUUAUCCUUCUAACACACCUGUAUGUUAUUCCAUUUGAAACAACUAAUUGAAUAUUUCAAUCCUCUGCAAACUCUUUAAUACGCAGCUUCAGGGUGUAUUUCGAUAUAAUUACACAAUAACUUUGAAUUCUCCUUAGGCGCAUUAAAAUCAGCUUUUCCUACGAAUUUUUAUCGAAUUCACGUGCUUUUAACGCAAUUUUAGGAUUCCAUUAUUGACAGCAGAUCCAUUGUAUCGCGCCUAUCCAUAAAAAUGAUCGAAAGUAACGAAGUCUUCGAGAAACGUAGCCAAGCAGCGACGUUCACCCAUUUGAGCGAUAUUAAAAUCGAUUGAGAAACGAGAACAAGCAGAGGUCGGAUAAAAAUGAUAGGGGGAAUAAUGAUAAACGAAUGGAUAAGCGAUCGAGGAGAAGAAUUAUCAUAACUCGGUACCAAAAUGAAAAAAGGGAUCAACGUACGAACACCAAUUAGCUCUUAAAAAGACGGUCUAUCGUCGCUUAUUAUAUUAUACUAUUACUAGACUACUCUAAUUUUAUUGUCGAAUUAUAUCGUAUAACGUAUACAUAUGGUACUCGUUCGAGCAUCGUUCGUUCCUACGGGCACGUGAAAUCGUUUUCUUCGACACGAUGGAGUUACGAUAAUAUACCUUUAGACGUCUACGAGGUAAGUUAUCCAUGUUGGACACCCGCGAACGCGUUCACGAAUGUUUAACAUCAAAUACUCUCUCUCUUUCUCUCUCUUUCUUUGUCUCUCUCUACUCGAUUCGCGAUAGCAUUAAGUAUUUAAAUAACCACUUGAAAACGUAUUGUAGAUGAUAAUAAUUUCUUGUUUCAUGCGUGUUUCGUGUGUAUCUGUUUCUCGCGCUCUCAUCAGGUAGAGCCAUCUUUCAUCUUCCAGUUCUAUCGACCCGCAUAUAUUUUUGUCGUUAGGCGAACUAUCCAAGGAAUUCCUACCAGAAACGAUCUUCGAACGUUUCAACGAUUUUAUGAUGUAGCAGCAUACAUUGUAGUAAUUCGCGAGAGGAACCCGAUAUUACAAAUGAACAAUUGAACGUUAGAUCGAUGUGCAACGAUUUAUAUAAAUUGUCCACGCAUCGAUUCGUCUGAAUUUGUUCGAUUCGUAUCCAGCUUCGACUCUAGUCGCGUUAAGAAGCGUGAAAAAUACGAACACGCAGAAUGUACAGUAGGUUGGGUGAAAUAGAUCGAGAGAAAUCGUAUUCGCGCGUGUCCGCUCCUCGUUUGUCUCUUAUCCUCUGUAAUUAAACUGAUAUUUUUAAGUGAUCGAAUUAGAGACCGAGAUUAGAAAAGUUCCGCGGCGAGGAAUCGUACGUGCGUAUACGGCCGCAUAUCAAAUAAAUUAAUUGUAAGUACAUCGGUAGAGAGUGCUGGUAUAUCGAAUAUCGCGAUGGUGAAUCGAUUCUAGAAAUGCCUUCGACCGUAAGAUACGUUGUUCUGAUUAUUUUUUAUAUGUAGCGUAAUCACGAUGCCUUUGUAACUCUAUCCCGGUUAAAUGUGCAUCGUUCAUCGAACGGACGAUCGAUUUUCCAUUGUAUUUAAUGCCCCUAUUAUUUAACGAGAACAAACCUGAGGUCUUACGUUCGAUGAACGUCGCAACGAUUUAGAGAAGCACGAAGAAAGAAGAAGCCAGAACUGUACGCUGAAAUAUAGCUUUAAAAAUUGGUUGAACGUUUUAUUCGAUCGAGAGAAGCUUCGUCUCGCUUAUUUAAAUUAAGCCGAACGAACGGAAAUGUUUUAAUUUAAAUGAUAUUGAAAUUUUCCAAGUUCUCAAUGAAACAUUCGUUAACUCCAACGUUAUUUGAAUUUCAUUAAAAAUUUCAAUUAAACUUACGUUCAGAGUAAAAGAUCCUUCCUCGUUCUGUUUUUCGUUUCCAUUCCGGCGUUUAUGUUCCGUUAUCCUCGGUUCAAGUUAUCGUAGAACAGCCAUCCUUUCCUUUCGGUUUCGUCGUCUACGUUAACGUACAUCGUGAUUAUAGCCACCUGCGUAAAAUUUCGAUUCGACGAGCGAACGUUUCUUUUUAGGAAUCGAUCCACAAGUAAGGUUGUUCUUGCGAUCGUUCUAUCGUUUCUCGCCUCGCGAAGAUCCUUCGACGAUGCGCGAUAUCGCGCGCCGAAACGUGUAAAUCGUGAAAUCGAACGAUAAGAUUCGAAUACUUACGAAUCGUGUUAAAUCGUCGUGUUAUUAAAUGCGAAAGUUAUAAGAAAAGAUUUGUUCUUUAUUUCAUUUUCUUUUUCUUUUUCUUCUUGUCUCAUCUAUCGCCUAAUAGGAUCGUGACGCAUUCGAAUCGUUUCAAUUACUCGGAGAUUUCGAUGCGCGUUUGCGUAACUUUCUUAGCGAUCGAGUUUAGGCACCGGUUAUAAUAUCCGAAUUUUGCACUUUUUGAAUCGUAAGUCACGUUCGUGUAGAUGUUUCAAAGAAUAUUUUCCUAGAUUCUAAGAUCUGUACAGAAGCUAUAACGAAGAAAUAACGAAGGUUACGAUAAAUAAAUGCUCGAUGAUGAUGUGAUCGAUCAAUGGGGCGAAGUAGUUAACGAAGGAUGAAUGAACAGCGUUAUUAAUGUUAAAGUUGAAUUUCAUUAUUAGCUAACGGAAGUUGCGAGUUUAUUUUAAGGGAUCAUUGUUGGAACGUUGUGCGGUUAAAGGUUUUUUUUUCAAAUAUCUGGGGAAUAAUGUUUAUUCGAGAUUACUAUAGAAAAUAGAGGUAAAAUAGGAAUAAUUUUAAUCGUAGAAUAAUACAAUAUUAUUCUUAGCUCUUAACGGAUAUGGAAACCGACACGUACGUGUAAAUACUUGGAAUAGAAGAUAUUUCAAUUUCAUGCCACUUGUUCGUUGCAUCAAUCGAUCGAUAAUUCCAAUAUCGCGAUAAAAAUUGUCUCGAUAAAAAUUUAGUUCUUCUGGGAGAUAUAUCCGCUUCGAUGAAAGGGAGAAGAAUCUGUUUUACGCGUUAUCCAAUAUCUUUUCGAAUCCUGUACAUAUCGGAAAGUCUCGCACGCGUAUGUAUAUUGAAAUCUCAAAUAGUCACAAUUUAACAUAUUGAAUAGAAGAAAAAGGAAAAAAGAAAACGAUCGAUUAUAUCUGUGGAAAUGUUCGACUUUUUAAAAAAUUGUCCGUGACAUUUUAUUCUCGUAACGUAACGUAACGUAACGUCAGUAGUCGAUUUAUUCGUACGUGCGUAUAUAAAUGUAUUUUUACUGAGAUUAUCACGAUUAAUCGAUGGUCACGAGGCAAACACGUAUUCAAGUUUUCACAGACGAAUUCAAAUUUUCUAAUCCCCUGCGAACUUCAUUGCAAGUAAGGCGACGUUUUAAAUGGUUUUCCAUUGCUUCCCAAAUUUUUGGACCAUUUCUCUUCGAACGUAACAGAACGAUUCGAGAUUCCCUUUGAACUUUCUCGUGUUAGUCUUACGCUUUAACCUUCGUCGACGUCCAAUAAAGCGCGACUCCUGUUCUCCCUUUCUUUUUCCUUUUUGUAUUCGUCAUUUUCAUCUUUUCUAAAGCGAUGAUCAAUAGAGAACCGUUCUAUCGUGAAAAUUCAUUGCGUCACGGUGUUUCUUAGAAAUUCAACAUUCCGGAACAAAUGAAAGUGAAAGCGUCAACAUAGAUCGAAGCAUGCUGUUAGCCGAACAACAUUUAACUUUGAAAUUUUAAUGCCAAAGCAGGCAUUAUAAUAUUCGAGAAGCAUGGAAAUGUCAGUUGAUAUUAAUGUUGUUAUUCGAUGCAUUUUGAAGCGAGAGGUUUGAGAAUAAUAGCGCGUCCGUGGCGAUCGGCGAUAAAUUUUUUAUUAAACGAUUCCUGAAGAUAUACAGGGUGAUUUACCUGAUACGGUGACUCGAAUUUAUUCUACGAUAUUCGUUAUGCAGAAAUGUAUAUGGCACGAAGAUCGCAUAAUUUGAAGAAGUAAAUGCACCGUUAUUAGAAUUAUUCUUUUCGUCUACGAUAGUCAUGCAAGGUUUUCAAGAUCUAUAUCUUUGCGGUUAUUAUAGGAGUAUUAAAAUUUGAAUAAAAAUUGUGUGCGUUAAAUACGACAUAGACUCUCCUUUUUUUUCAUUUAUUCGUUGUUAAAUUUUCCUAUUUCGAUCAUCGUUGCGUGAUUAUAAAAUUACGUUAUGACGUAGCUUGCAUUAUAUGAUAAACAAUUCCAAGUUUAUAUCAUACUUUUGCUUCCAAAGAGUUUAUUGAUAUUCUAAAUUUAGUUAGAAUACUAAUGAAUACAUUCUGCGACCUCCAAUGGAAACCAAAAAUAAAACUUACAUCCAGUAGACAAAAAUAAAGCUUAUAUCGAGCAAGUAAAAAUAUUCUUCCACUUAUUUCUUCAGUAAGAUGUGCAUAAAAGAUCGAGGCGUCAAGACAUCGAAUCUAACUAUGUUAUAGGUAUUACGACUGGAUAUUUUAAUUUGAAAUUUCAGCUUUAUUUUCAAGCUCCGUACUAUGAAUUUUCUCAUAGCAUGAAACAUAUUGAUCUUGCUCACAGCCGCUGACAAGAAUCUCGAGAAACACUGUAACGUGACGAUUAAACUUCAUCAUCGAGUAUAAUUUCUCGAGUAUAUUUCUACGAUGUGUAUAAAAAUACGAAGAAACGUUAAUGCUUAUAUCGAAUUUCACGAGAUAUAUAUUAUCGUACAUGAUCUGUUAUAGAAAUAAGGAGGUUGAAGGAGGAGGAGGGUAACGUUGGCAAAAGAUCAAGUGGUUUCAUCAUCCUUCCAGAAGGACGAAUAUAAAAUAAUUUCAUUUCCUGGUUUCUAGCAGAGUUCCUCUUAUUCGAACGUUAUUCUUUUGCUUGGAUAAUUGCAGCAAUAAAUAAAUAAAUAAAUAAAUAAAUAAUAAACGGUUCGAACGUUACGUUCGAAUUUCGUAAAAACGCCAUAAAUAAAUUCAGGUAUAUUUGAAUAAAAAUAUUCCAAAUUUAAAUUCUCUGGUACGAGGUAAUUAUCGAGUAAUAAUAUUCUCAACACUUCUAUAUCGCAUUGUAUUUCAGCGUAGUUUGAUCUGCCAACGAAUUAUGAUAAUAAGAAUUUAACUUCCCUGCUGCUUACAUUGAAAUUUAUUGCUUAAAAUGAAAAAUUAUAUUAAAUUAAUUCCAGAUUUCAGACAUUGAAAAUCAGACUGAGUGUGAGAGCGAAUCUUCUAAAGGACAAAUAACUCCGAUAUUGCUGCAAAGGGAAAGAAAGGACAUGUCUUUGUCGAUGUAUCGCUUCUCAAGGGAACCUGUUACUUUGAUUUUUCAAAAUAAAACCUUUGUAAAUGUAAUCUCCUUAUUUUUUAUAACAGAUCGCGUAUUUGUAAUACACAUACGAACUAUCAAGUCAAGUAACGAGUAAUACGAGUGUUUCAAAAAAAAAAUCGCGCAUUAAAAGAGAAGACUGGAAGAAGGAUAUCAGAGAAUGUUAAGAAUAUUGAACAAAUAAAAAGCUAUCUAGAAAUAAAGGAGCAAGUAUCAAUAACUGGAAUAAUUACUUUACAUGUAACUUUGUUAAAUGAUGGAAAUACUCGUGUUGCUCGUGGAACGAUCUUAAACGACUAUUUAAACGAAGAGAUGAAAAAGUCAAUGCCGUUCGACGUUCGCGACUGUGUAUCGAGUUUAAGGGAGAACCGGAACCAAGAAGAUAAUGAGAAACGAGGGACGUUCCCGAAAGUUCGAAAGUUUCCUUCAGAUCAAAUCGACUUAUCGGUAUAGAUAAAUAUUUUCACUGAUUUCCUCUCGGAAAGCAAUUUCCUUUUCGUCGUCGGUCAUAAAACCGUGUGCCUAUCGCUCGGUUUUAGUAUUAUUAUUCGUUAGGGGAAUAAUCGUUCUCGUAAUCGCGCCAAUUACCACGCCCGCGAUUAGAUCGAAAUCGCGACAGGCAAAGCUUUCACGCGAGAUCGAUCAUCAGAACCGUGAAGAAGGACAUUGAAGAAGCCAUUACUAGUUAAUGCAUAUGAAAUGUCGUUUCUCCGGAGUUUCAGUUUGAUAGGCAAUGGACCAGCGCGUGAAAUUUCCUCCUAUCGUCAAUUAUUCGAUUUCAGCGUCAAAGGAAGAAGAAAUUUCCUAUGAAUCGCAAUGGAAAUAUUUCGAAUAAAAAUAUCCAAAUUAUGUUUCGUGCGAUUCUCUUACAUGAGUUUUUGAGAAGAUGUUCCAAAAGUGAAUAUAAAGGAAACUUGGAAUUUUUAGAUGGUUGAAAAGACAUUCUCCGUGUAUAUUUCAAUCUUUUAACGUACAAAUUAUCUUAAAGGAUCUCUGAAUGUUAGAACUAGCAAUUCUUGUAAAUUCCGAACAAUGAAGUUAAUCGAGAAGGUGCCAUUGUAUCGUACGAGAAUUACUUUCAUCGAAUAUACGACGUUUCGAACAAACUACGUGUCCUUAAAAUGUAAUUGGAGAAAGUGACGUUCCGUAUGCAUCAACCGAAACGAAUAAUUCCGCGUAAUGAACGAAUCGCGAACGUAUCACGAGUAGAGCAACCAGAGGAACGAGAGUGGUAAAAAGAUGAAUAAACGCGAAGAAUAAAAAGAGAAAAAGGAGCAAAAAAAAAAAAAAGAAAAAUAGAGAAUGUGAGAUGAUAAUCGGAGAGUGUGUGCGAGAGUAUGAGCGUGUAAAAAUGGUGCGGAAUUUCCCAAAGAGGAAAAAGAAACACAGUAUUGCCUUUUCUCAGGGACGCGGCCUUGGCCCGUGAGUUUCAUCUUAAGUUCUUAGAGCAAUAAAUCGGCGACAAUCACGGCGUUUCGGGCCGAGUUCGCGUCGCUGAAACAUCUUCUCGUCUGUCCCGUGUGCGCGUUUCCAUUUCUGUCCUCUACGCUUAGAACGACGACGACGAAACCACGCUGAGCCGCGAUUCAUGUGAAUACUUAACUAAUUUCGCGCGCUCGGCUUAAUACAACAGUGCCUGCUCAACUGUCGCAGGUGAGGGACUGAAGAACAAUCGUGUUGUCGUGAAGUUGUGUAGAGGAAAUAAGUAUAUAUACAUACAUAUGUGUAUAUAUAUAUAUAUAUAUUUAAUGGUGUAAUAUUUUGGAAAUCUAACGAUCGAAUUUACAUAUUUAUAUUUUAAAAAUUGUUAGUUGGUAUUUUGGGGUUUUUCUUUUAAGUGGCUUCUUACUGUUUCAUUCUCACCGAACGGUGAAUGAAAUUGGAAACGCGAGUGAAAUGGAGGAAAAGUUAUCAAUUCGAACAGCUGUGUUACGAUAUGUGGCAUAAAUCUGCACGAAACUCUUGGGAUAUCUGUUUUUAACAAGAAUUUAGUAUCUCACGUAGAACGUGAACUUAUAGUUUCACGCGUCUUUUAAAUAAUAUACCAAUACAUCAAUGGAUCGCGAAUCUUUAUGUAAAUUCAUAAUUCUAUGAAUAUAAGUAAAAAAAUGGAACAUAGAAAAUUGUUCUACUUAUCAGGUAUUAAAGAGGUAUUACUAUAUUUUGAAUAUUUUACAUAUUUUCGUAUGUUACGUGUAUUCGGUGUAAGGUAUUUGUGCAGUCAUAAAUUCUCAUAAAUGCAUAAGAAUUUUAACGUAUUUAAAUAUUAAAUUGAACGAUAUUGUUCCAUAUUUCUUAAUAGUUAUUUAAUUCUUACGAAAUUUGAAUCAAAUGUGACAACUGUCCUAAGACUUUUGAACGGUGGUGUACGUGUAAAUAUUUGAAUUUUGAAGAAUUAGAGAUUCACUUGUUUAUUACGUAUUUGUUCACACACACACACACACACACACAGGUUGUAAUAGAUUAUUGAGACAAAAUAUGACGUAAUUUAUUUCCGUAAUAGUGUUUCCUUUAUUAUUACUGUGCUAUUAUUUUAGAAUUAUUUACGUCCUUAUUAUAGCAUUGUUAUUUAUAUUUAUAUUCUUACUGCCUUAUUAUUCGUCGUAUUAUCGACACGAGAAUUACGAAAUCUAUCAAAAUAAGAUGUUUCGAAAAAUUAUUGCCUGUUGAAACUAUGCAAAUUACUUCUUAUCAAAAUUAUAUACAAUGUUAGCUUUUAUCAAGGUAAAAGUAUAAUCCUAUAUAUUUAUUUAUUUUCAACACACGCGUCUAAUAUAAUUAUUUACCAUGGCACAUUACAAGUCGGUAGUACUAAUAUUAAUUAAUGUUAAUAGCGUUAAUGUACGUUACGUUACGCGUAAUUUGAAAUUGUUCAGGAUCGCGUUUAACGUUAUCUCCGCAAAAUCCUAUUAAUUCACCCUGAAUUAAUCCCACAAUCGUAAAGUAUCCAUGUCGAUACGAGUGAGAAGAUAGCUAAAUUCUUACUAAAAUCUCCCCACGGUCUGUAAUUUUAUCGAAAGCAAUAUCGAUGGAAGUACGAUGCAUAGGAGGAUGUCGAUGCACCUUGACAUGCGGCAGUUAAACAGGCUUCGAUGUAUUUCCGGUCCACGCUCGCAAUGUCUCGUCGACUAUUAGUGGCGUCAGGAUCGAUGCAUACAAGUGGGUUUUGUCGCGUGGAUAUUUCUUCUCGCGUGCGUAUUUUUCUUUUCGCGUGAGCGAAACUUGCGUUUCAAAAAUAGAAAAAGGCGCAACGUUAUAAUCUGACGACGCGACGGUCAAUUUUCGCCUGUUGCGAAUUCUCGCGUGUCGUUGAUGCAUUCGCGAGCAUUGCGACAUUUAACUGAAGAUAAAAUUCGCUCGCCCACAUCGGGCUUUAGUCGCGUGAAACUUCGUAUUUAACGCUUCGCUAACCCUUUCGUUGCUGCGGGUGAUUAUAAUCAUCCAACAUCGAGCGCUUUCUAACAAAGGUGACUAUAGUUACUCGUAAGAAUGUCGUAUUAGUCGUUAACUACAAUUAAUGAAGGAAAUUUCAUAUUUUACUUGUACUAUAAUUAUUUGAUACAGCUGUAAAUAAUGUUUGACGUAAUACGGUUGAUCAUUAGCGAUGAUUAUAGUCAUCCGUUAAAAUUUCGGAUUAUUAUAGUCACCGGAUAAUAAUACCAAUUGUAUUUAGUUAACGACCGUGACUGAACACAGCAUAGUUUGAUAUUUCUGGUUAAUACAUUCACUGUUAUUGACGCUCAUGUUGCGCUGAUUCAAAUAUUUGAGUAAUCCUGCUGACGCAACCACUGGCAGAAUAAUUUAUUUAGGGAGGCAAACAGAGCGGUGGCCAGCGUAACGAAACGAAAGAUUAUUGCUUGAAAUGAAGACAUUUGCUAUGAGAGAAAAAUCCAAUUCGAGGAAUAAGUCGUUGCAUUUUAGCAGCAGUGAAUAUUUCAAGCGAGAUUUUCGUCUAGAAUUGUGCAAUUUUUCUAUUUUGUUAUAUUACUUUGAUAUACGCUACGAGUCAAAGCUUUGAGAUUAUUAUGUGUUUCAUAGAGUCUAAGAACUUUGAACAAUAUUAUCUUAGAAUAUUUUUUAAUAAUAAAUCUGUCGAAACGAAGGGAAUUAUUAUUCGUAUCUGCUUUAUUUUUACAUUAAUUUCGACUAAAUAACAAAAUUAGAAGAUGCUGACUAAUUUCGAAUUUUUGCCCGAUAAUGUAUAUCAUACAGUGUGUUUUAAUAUUUUCUAUGAUAGAUUAAAUAAUUUAUAGAACUUGAUUAUUCUGGCGCAUAUUUCUUUAGAAUUCGUUAUGCAUUAUGUAAUACGUUGACUGCUGCCCGGUUGUCCUACUAUUUCAUUAAAAAACAAAUUUGUUUAAACAGACUACAGUUGCAUUUAAAAGACUGUAUAUGUUAGUAGGUAUGAUAUUAAGGACAUUUAUUUAAUUUAAAUACUUUAAUCAAUUCACGUUGAUGGCAGUCAACGUGUCAAUCACGAAUGACACGAAUAAAAGACAAAAUUUACAUUGUUAAUAAUUUAUAACGUGUAGAAGGUAUAGUUCCGCUGUUAUACUAUCGUUAUGCAAUAACGAAGUAUCGUAUUAAUCGUUAAUUGGAUUCUAACGAAAGGGUUAAAGUGUGAAAUUCGUCGACAAUGACAAAAGAAAACUACCCCUUGGCUCUUUAAUUAACAGCUUUGAUACAUAAAGCCGUAAUCUUUCUCUCAGAAAAUUAUAUGUGUGAAUCCUUUCAGCAUUGGACGUUGUAUCAAUCUUGUCGAAUUUCGCUAAAUGAAUUCACGUUCUCUAGUUUUUCUCGCAACGAAUAUAAGCAAAUUUUACGCCUAUAUUUUCUACGAUAAUAGGUAUGCUAAUAAAUAUACGAUAAUAUAUCGAUAGCCAGUUACAUUUGGAUGUUUAUGCACUUAUCAAACAAUUUACAGAAUUCGCCUAAUAAUCCGCCAUAUACAAAGUAUUCAAAUUAAUAAUUAAAGAUGUACAAAAAUAUGCAUUUCUUUAGGCGUAUUUGCAAGAAUGCAAAUUUGCGUAAACAUCCACGGUUCGCGUAUUAGUUAAUAUUAAUAAAUCCAAUCGAGUGAAGCGACAUUACGUCACAGAGUGAUGACGUUACAAACAGUCUUUCCAAUUUAUCACGCUUUCUUUGAGAACAUUUAACAGGCGCGUUCCUUAGCAAAAAUCAAUCGCCCGUUACACAGCGAACGAAACUGCAUUUCCGUCUGUCUGUUCGUCUAAUCUGUCGAAAUAGAAAGAGAAGAGGAAGCAAGAACACAGACAGAAAGAAGAGAAAAAAAAAAUAUAGAUUAGGAAGCGUGAACCGAUUCUGAAGCGAAUCGAAACGGAGCCAGGGGAAUGUUUAAUCGAUUCGCGCGACGAUUUUAGCCGGUAGGGUUAACCGUGCGCCACUAAUUUAGACUGCAGCUGGUCUGUUUUGACUGCGGCAGAACGGGAAAACAAAAGGGGUACUGUUGUAGCUCGCCGUGCAUUGUGAACGUCGACCUAAAUACUACGAUUUUCCCCUCGGUAACGAGCUGAGCUUAGUCCGUUCGUAUUUCAUUGUCACGAAAGUUGUUGGGUGGUCUGUUCUAUUCCUAUAUUCUGUCCACGUCAAACGUGGCUGCUUGCCGAAGUUGUGAAAAUUCUUUCCGCUGGUACGAUCUACGCGGAACGAUCGCAGAAGGCUUAUUUUAAUUUAUCUGAUCGUCUAUGGCUGAUCACGAUGCUGGUCGAUCGUUCAGUGACGAUUUAUUAACAGUCUCGCUGCUAUUGACGCGUACGUUGUGUUACUUCGUCCGGUAAUUGGUAAGAUGGGCUCUGCGAAACCUUAGGAAUCGUUAUUUUCAACGUCCUAUUGUUUACCAACGUAUAACUUAAUAACUAUCGGUCUAUGCUAUCGUCGUAUAAGCCACGGGACGCUUAGAACAGGUACAGACGAACGUUGGAAUUACAAAGUUAAGUCGACAUUAGAUUGUCAUCUUUGCGUGUGCUUUACGGAAAAUUGAAUUAUACGUGUUAGGUUUUGGAGAUUUUAUUGCACACGUAUUUUAUCGAAGAAAUGAAAGAAAUUAAAGAAAAGUCGCGUAGCUUAUGGACGGAAGUGCAUAUAUGUGCAAUUCAUAGUAGCACGUUUUGUAAAUUUCUGACCAUUUGUGUCCACGUGCUAGAAUGAUCGCUAUACCAGUUAUGGGUUAAUCUUAAGUAAUAUCGCGACCACAUUAAAUAUUACAUUUCUGCUUUUAUGUAUUUUGAUAAAGUAACUUCGAAACAAGCAAUGGAUGUCGUAAUGGAACAAAUAUUAUUAAUAUAAAAUAAAGAAAUUUUUAAUGGGAAAGAAAAAGGGUAAAAUUGUAUGUGCGGUGAUCACACGUCGUUAACAGCAGUGAAUAUAUUAACUGGUUUGUGCUGAAUGAAUUGAAGAUUUUUUCUCGGAUUUUUUUUUUUUUUUGAGUAUUAAAGAAGGUUGUUUAAGUUUAAUGAAAACUGUGAGUUUGGUAGAAUUGAAUUGAUUUAGAGGUAGAUACAUGUGCAUUUUUGUAAGCAUUGGGACAUUUAUGGACAAUUGAGAAGUUAUUGAAACGUAUUAAGACUAUAUUAUUAUCUAAUUUCAAUUCUCAGAGUAUAAAGUAUUUGUAUAUUCAAUACCGAGGUAAAAUUAAUUAUGUACAACAACAUUGAACGUUCUUCUCUCGUCUAUAUUCGUCAGGUCCCUCGAUUCUCUAUUUUAAUCAAUUCUAUCAUUCGUAUUAUUAGGUUUACCACUGUAUUUGUGGAUAGACAUCUCAAAAUAUACUAUUUCAUUCGUCUCGAGAUCUUCUACGAUUUACAUCACAUUAUAGCGAGAUUGACGCAUAUUUUCAGAAAAUUUGUAUACGUUUUUCACCAUUGUUCUGUACGAAUAGAAAAUUCUGACCGAUUAAUAAGUAAACGUUCCCAUAUACAUAAAUGUCCUACGAACAGCAGUGUACAUAUAAUAGCAAUUAGAUUACUUGCGUUUAUUAAGUAUUACUACAGAUAGCUUCUGAUUUCUAUAAUUAUGACGAUAAGCUCUAUACGGGUGAUGAUGAACGAGUUUGUAAAAUAUGUUUGUACGAAGUUGGAGGAUCGAAUCACAACUUUGUCAAGUAAAAGUGUUUGGCAAUAGACAGCGUUUCGAACCAACGUGAUUACAGGAACGAUCGUGUAAUUUGCAAUGACUUCUUUAAUUGCUGCUCGCUAUUUUCUGAGUCUAUGUAACUCGUACGAGUAACUUCUCAUUAGAAGGAUGUAUCAAGUGAUUACUUUAUAAGUAAUAAAAAGAUUUCUGAUUCUCGAA